AUGGCGUGCCUCUGGUUGCGGAAGUGCGCGGGGCUCCACGAGCAAGUCGCUGCUGCUCAGCGGGCAGAAGAUGGAGGGUGCAAACGGGCAGACCGUGCACUCCGGACGCCUGUGGGUAGCGCAGCGGCGAUUCCAGGCGGUGGGCCGAGGGAGGUAAGCGGUGGGUGGUGGACCCUGGGCGCUGGGCGGUGGGAGGAAGGAGGGAAAAGGAGGAAGGCGAGAUUAUCAGGGCUGUGUCUGUUAGGGCGAGUGAGGAGAAGGCCGACGGAGGAGACAGUCAGGGAAGUGCCAGGAAGGUGUUCGCAGUCCCUUGGUGUGUUUGGGCCAGGGUCUCAAGCGCCCGAGCCCGUCGUGUCCGGUCUUGGCCUCUGGCUGCACGCCUGUGCGCCCCGGUGGGAGAAGGAGGAGGUGGCGGUGUUUGGAAGGUGGACUGCGAUCGGGACCAGAGCUGCUGGGGCAGGUGGGUUGCCGGUUGCCGCGGGGGCAGCGCUGGCGUCGCGGGGGCUGGCGGUGCGUGUUUGUUUUAAACCCAAGCAGGGAACAGGUGCCAAGGUAGUGCCCAAUGAUGGGGCCACAGUCUCUGGGGCCAGGAGGCAUACGCUUGGACAAGUUCCCGAAGCUCCCUGGUGGUCUAGUGGUUAGGAUUCGGCGCUCUCACCGCCGCGGCCCGGGUUCGAUUCCCGGUCAGGGAAGUCUUUCUUCUUUGGUUCCGCCUGCCAACUGCCCGGCGCCUUCACCCCUUCCGUUUUGGCCACCAGGCUGACUUGCUUCUCCUGCACCCCAGCCACAACUCCUGCGGCCUCCACCUAAGGCCCAAAGGCUCCCCGCCUGCCUCCACCCAUUUGUCCUUUUGACUUCGCUGGCGCCACCUGCGCCACAUCAGCUUCACAGCUCUUCCUUGUCGGGUGCUCCCCUCUCUCCCACUCUGACUCGGUGGCGAAGCCCACUGGCCAGGACAGGCUUUUUCCUCCCUGGUCGCCAGCAGACCCGCCACGGCCGGCACCACACCGGUACUCUCAGUGGCAUCUUGCCACGGAAUGGGCCAGGACUCUCCAGCAGCGAGGCUUCUGCCAAGCCAAGCCCGAGGAUCGGGGGUGGAGGGCUCACAGGCCACUUCUCUGUCAUCUGCGGGGGAUCUGCACCUCACGUUUGGGCCACCUGCUAGGGCCACUCAUGCCAGCCAGCACACUAGCUUUUCCAAGGUCCGCCAAGUCCUGAGCGGGUCGGAGUCCCUGAUUGGGUUCCAGGCGCGUCAGCGGCUUUGAUAGGGAUGGCAUGGAACCUUGAGCUGAGACUGAGGGAAUCUGUGGGGAUCGCUCCCCUGUGACGCCCCCAGGAAAUGGGCCUCUCCAUACGGUGAGCUUGAGCCUGGGCACAGAUCCCUGGUUGGGGGAGUCGAGCUGAGGGAAAGCAGGAACCAAGAGAGGAACUAUGUGUUAUUCAAAAUAAUUAACAGACAUUACUUUAUGGAUAUGAGGACUUGCAAGGCAUUGUGACCAUUUUCGGCUCCUUAUGGUUUAUUGCUUGAUUGUGUUCAUUUCGGACCCUUGUUACCUUCGUUGUAAAAUAUUAAGUUUUUACACUUGGUAACUUACUUACCAUAACUUACUGGGUGUAACUGUAACUUACUUACCAUAGCUUACAGGGCGUGACUGUAACUUACUUACCUUGACCUAUUGGGCGUAACCUACUUACUGGGCGUAACCUACUUACUGGGCUUAACUUAUUUACUGGGCGUAACUUAGUGGGCGUAACUUGCUUACUGUAAUUUAAGUACUUGAUCUGGUGUAAACAACUUUGACUUCAGAAAAGUAUAUAAUGAAACGUAUUGCAAAAAUAAAAUGGCUGCAUGGGCAUAGCGCAUGUAGCCCUCCAGACCUCGCUCUUUUCUCUCUCCUUUUUUUCCGGCGCAGGCUCUCUUCCAGGUUUGAGACCCUCUAGCUGGACAAGAUUCCCGGGCUCGCGUUCAGUUCUCAACACGAGACCACUGGCUAUGGCGCCGGGCAGGCGGAGCUGUGACUAUCACUCUCUCGGCCGGAUUCUGAUUUUCUUCGUGCGGACCGGACAUCGAUGGGAUUCCUGUGAUAUGUGGGAACACGUGUAGAUUGCAGAGUGAUGGACUGCGGGGAUGUAGGGCAUCCGUCCCGUCGAUAUCUGUCAGCUCUCCCUCUUGGGAACAUCACAGGCGCUGUCUUCCAGCUCUUUGGAAACACACACUCAUACACACAUCACUGUUACCUAUAGUCGCCCUACUCUGCGAUGGAACAUUGGAACGUAUUCCUUCCAUCGAACCGCAGGCUCGUACUUCUUUCCUCCAACCUCUCCUCACCCGGGUCUUCCACACGCCCUCUCCAGCCUCUGGUUCCUACCGUUCUGCGCUCUACCUCCACCAGGUGGACUUUUUGAGCUCCCACGAUAGGAGUAAGGACCUGCCCUCUCUGUCUUUCUCUUCCCGGCUCACUUGACAUUGCAUCACUGACCUCCAGCUCCAUCCGUGUUGCUGCAAAGGAGAGGAUUCGUUCCGUUUGAAGGCCAAGUAGUAUUCCCUGCUGUUUAUAUGCCACGUCUUUAAUCCAUUUGCCAGCCGAUGGAGUCUUAGGUUGAUGCGAUGUUUCUGCAAUUGUGAACAGUGGUGCAUUAAACAUGGGGGUGGGGGUAUCCCUCUGAUAUUCAGAUUCCCUUAUGCUUUGGAUGAAUACCCAUCGCAUCCGUGGGAUUGCCAGAGGCAGUGGUAGCUCUACCUGUAGUUAUGUGUGUGGGAGGGGGUGGAGGAGACUAAGGGUCGGGUUGAGGUGCAGUUUCCUUUGUUUGUUACUUUGUUGUGUUUGGUUUGGAGAAAUCUCCAUGCUGCUUUUCAGGGUGGCCUGUGAGGGUCGCCCCUGCGAGAGGCUAACAACUUGGCCUCCGCCAUUAAGUGAGCUUGAUUCCUUACACACUCUCCCUGGCUGGAGGCUGUCCAGCUAUGGGGAAGAAAAAUUGGGAGAAGAAUGACUAAACAGAACACUAUUUUCAGCCUUCUUGGUUGAUGAGAUAAAGGCUGGGUGAAGUUGAAGUGAUUCAACUGGGUAUUGUGUUCCCCUUUCUGGCUUCUAAUUUUAACAUGUUCUAUGACUUUGUUUACCAGGCAUUGUUUCAGCCUGGUGACCUCCCCUGCGGCCCUUGUCUUUUGCAGAUGCAUGGUUUACUGCUGAGCUUGUGACUUCUAGAUAAUUGAAGAUUGUUAUCCGAGUAACUGGUUGUUCUGAUAAUAUUGAUAAUCAGCAUCACCUACUUCCCCCUUGACCUUUUAAAUCAGUAUCUGUCCCUUUUACUAGUUCCCCAGAAUUGCUUUCUGUUUCUUUUGUUAUUUAAGGAAUGCUUUGAUCUGACUUAACAUUAAGUAGAAAAGUAUAUAAUGGAACCUACUGCACAAAUAAAAUUGCUGUUUUGGGCAUAGCCUAAUCAGUCCUCCAGACCCCUCUCUCUGUCUUCUUUUUUUCCACGCAUGGUCUCUUCCAGGUUUCGGACCCUCUCGCUGGACCUGGGCUCGUGUUCAGUUCACAACAGUGGCCGGCCUUAUUCACCUUUCCACCAACGGUGCCUAAUUCUUCGGUUUGGUCCGCCUGCUCUUCGGGAUGGGUUAUUUUCCCUGUGGGUUUAAUGACAGUCAUCCUAAGCGGGGUUGAUGACAGCUCCUCCUGGUUUCCAUUGGCAUUUCCCUGACAAUUGGCGAGGCUGAGGAUUUUCUCUUCAUACGCCCGUUGGUGGGCCAUUCCUAUGUGUUCUCUGCCCACUUUCCAAUGGGAUCAGAUGGCGUACGCAUGGCCUGGUGGAUGCCUAUUGGUGUGUGUUUUGGGGGGGCUGGGUGCGUGUAUGUAUGCAUGUUCCCCCUCACUGUUGACAUGUUUGAGUUUCUUGCCUAUUCUGGAUGUGACGAUGAAGCUUGAGAGGUUCCGCUAGUUAGACCAACCUGGCCACGGGCGUUGAAGCGUGGAGAUGCUGGAGCUGGUGGGAAAAACCCAGCAACCAAGGUGACCAAAGCACAUGUGGAAAGUUGGGGUUCAGGAUAGACUGGUAGUGGACAUUGGUUUCCCAUUUCUUCACCUUCGCUCUCUAACUUCUCCCCAGCUGGCAAGGAAAACAUGGAGAUGGCGCAUAUCCCCAGCGCCUAGAUUUGCUGUGGAAUUUCUUCCCAUCCCCUCCUUAGCACAGAUCAGCCCAGUUGUCCCAGCCUCUGUCCAGCCCAUUAUCGACCUUAGAGCUUGGCCGAUCCCCCAAGUCAAUGGCAGAGCUCAGUUGAAUCCCUGCCGAAACUUUCCUUUGGGGCAAAGUAGAGGUCUCCGGGACCGCCGAAGCCUGUCCCUUGACAUUCGGGGGAUCUUGGCAAAGUCGGAUUGCCUGCCGAGACCAGACCCUAUCGGGGUGAGAGAGGCUUGGCAUCCUCACGGGAGCCUGGCUUGCUUGCCAGCGAGAUGUGGGUGUGUGUCAGUGCGUGAUAGUGAUGGACAAAGGUGUGUGUUCCCGUGGCUGGCAACCACCCCAGCACGGGACUAGGGUCUGACACCAAGGAAAGCACAGAAGCAUGUCGACCAGGGACUGGGAAGCAGGAGAAGAAGUCCAGGGUGUCCAGGUGGUACACAGGCCAAGGUCUGAGAACGAAGCGGUCCAGUCAGAAGGAGGUUGUGCCAAUGCCUGGGGCGUUGAGGGACAUUGCGGGUGGCAUGUGCCGUCUGAGGGAUCCCAGGUGGUGGCAGUGCUGGUGUGUGUCUGAAGAGCCUGAAGGAAAUCAAGACUGGGGGAUGUGAGUCGUGUGAGAAAGAGGCACUGGUAGCCAGAGGGAAAGUUGGCUGUGCUGCUGCUGCUGUGUGUGUGUGUGUGUGUGUGUGUGUGUGCGCAAGAACGCGUGGGGUGGGGGGAGAUAGAGCUGAGGGAAGGCUAAGCCUGGAGGCUGGAAGGAGCAGUAGAUUUUCAGCGGGUUGGUCUGUCUGAUCUCUGGUAUGGGCAGGAACGAA
rnacentral:tRNA from 1 species